rnacentral:rRNA from 1 species
AUUGAACGCUGGCGGCAUGCCUAACACAUGCAAGUCGAACGAGUGGCGGACGGGUGAGUAAUGUCUGGGCAACUGCCUGAUGGAGGGGGAUCACUACUGGAAACGGUAUCUAAUACCGCAUACCAUCGGAUGUGCCCAGAUGGGAGUAGCUAGUAGGUGGGGGAAAGGCUCACCUAGGCGACGAUCCCUAGCGGGGCUGAGAGGAUGACCAGCAACACUGGAACUGAGAAACGGUCCUGACUCCUAGGGGAGGCAGCAGUGGGGAAUAGUGCACAAUGGGCGCAAGCCUGAUGCAGCCAUGCCGCGGGUAUGAAGAAGGCCUUCGGGUUGUAAAGUACUUUCAGCGGGGAGGCGUUACCCGCAGAAGAAGCACCGGCUAACUCCGUGCCAGCAGCCGCGGUAAUUC